UACAGAGGGGGCAAGCGUUGUUCGGAAUUACUGGGCGUAAAGGGCGCGUAGGCGGCCCUCUAAGUCAGACGUGAAAUCCCUCGGCUCAACCCAGGAACUGCGUCCGAUACUGGAAGGCUUGAAUCCGGGAGAGGGAUGCGGAAUUCCAGGUGUAGCGGUGAAAUGCGUAGAUAUCUGGAGGAACACCGGUGGCGAAGGCGGCAUCCUGGACCGGUAUUGACGCUGAGGCGCGAAAGCCAGGGGAGCAAACGGG
rnacentral:rRNA from 1 species